GCCGAAGUGGUGGAAAUGGCAGACACGCAUGGUUGAGGGCCAUGUGAGGGAAACCUCUUGGGGGUUCGAAUCCCCCCUUCGGCA
rnacentral:tRNA from 1 species